GUCCCUGUGGCGGAACUGGAAUACGCGCAGCACUUAGGAUGCUGUCCCGAAAGGGUUGCAGGUUCGAAUCCUGCCAGGGACACCA
rnacentral:tRNA from 2 species